ensembl:snRNA U6 U6 spliceosomal RNA
GUGCUCGCUUCAGCACACAUACUAAAACAGGAAUGAUACAGAGAAGAUUAACAUGGCCCCUGCACAAGGAUGACAUGCAAAUUUGUGAAUUGUUCCGUAUUUAA